rnacentral:rRNA from 1 species
UACGGAGGGUGCGAGCGUUGUCCGGAAUCACUGGGCGUAAAGGGCGCGUAGGCGGCUCAUGAAGGCUGUGGUGAAAGUCCGGGGCUCAACCUCGGAUCGGCCGUGGCGACUCGUGGGCUGGAGCACUGUAGAGGCGGGUGGAAUUCCGGGUGUAGCGGUGGAAUGCGUAGAUAUCUGGAGGAACACCAGUGGCGAAGGCGGCUUCCUGGCCUGUAACUGACGCUGAGACGCGAAAGCGUGGGGAGCGAACCGG